UCUCCAUCUAGAGCUUCACCUCACACUGGACUCCCACUAGCAUCCUCCAUGAUAGACAGCAUCUCCUUACACAAGAGAGCAUUGAUCAACCAUUCACGGUUGAUCUCCACCUUGAUUGCACCUAUCUUCUUCAUCUUCUUCAAUCUCGAUUAACACCGCUGUAACCUGGUGCUCUGGUACCACCUAGCUCUGAUACCAA
rnacentral:lncRNA from 1 species